GAAACUUAUUCUUGAGGGCUAUUUUAAGCUUGAGGAACCAGGCUAGGGUGAAAUUGAGUCCAUCAAGACCAUUGUGUGAGAGAGUCUUGAGAAGGAAGAACAUUCUAUGCUGAAGGACUAUAACCUACAAAGACAGAGAAGUUGGAAAUCUCAGGUGUGUUCCCGGCUUCUGAGCAGGGGAUGCUGUUACCUAAGGAGGCAUCAGUAAUCUUUGCAUCAGUGAAACAACUAGAGUUGUAACUUAACAAGCAUUUUUGGACAUGGGAUCAAAUUAAACAGCAUCCGUCUCUCAAGUACAAUUUGUUUGUUCUGAAUUCACGAAACUUCAGCCCUUGAGAUGUGCUACAACUUGGCAAGAAGAGAAAUGGUAUAUCAGGUUUGGCAAGCCUGACCUGGGGAACACAGAUAGGUGA